rnacentral:rRNA from 1 species
GAUGAACGCUGGCGGCGUGCCUAAUACAUGCAAGUCGAGCGAACGGACGCGAAGCUUGCUUCUCUGAUGUUACCGGCGGACGGGUGAGUCACACGUGACUAACCUCCCUCUAAGACUGGGAUAACUUCGGGAAACCGGAGCUCAUACCGGAUAAUAUCUUGAACCGCAUGGCUCAAAAGUGAAAGACUGUCUUGCUGUCACUUAUAGAUGGUUUCGCGCUGCAUUAGCUAGUUGGUAAGGUAACGGCUUACCAAGGCAACGAUGCAUAGCCGAACGGCGAGGCGGAUCGGCCACACGGGAACUGAGACACGGUCCAUACUACUACGGGAGGCAGCAGUAGGGAAUCGUCCGCAGUAGGCGAAAGCCUGACGGAGCAACGCCGCGUGAGUGAUGAAGGUCUUCGGAGCGGAAAACUCUGUUAUUAGGUAAGAACAUAUGUGUGAGGAACUGUGCCCAUCUUGACGGUACCUAAACAGAAAGCCACGGCUAACUACGUG